AUUGAACGCUGGCGGCAGGCCUAACACAUGCAAGUCGAGCGAGCGGCGGACGGGUGAGUAAUGUCUGGGAAACUGCCUGAUGGAGGGGGAUAACUACUGGAAAAGGUAGCUAAUAACGCAUACCAUCAGAUGUGCCCAGAUGGGAUUAGCUAGUGGGUGGGGUAACGGGCCACCUAGGCGACGAUCCCUAGCUGGACUGAGAGGCGGACCAGCCACACUGGAACUGAGACACGGUCCAGACUCCUACGGGAGGCAGCAGUGGGGAAUAUUGCACAAUGGGCGCAAGCCUGAUGCAGCCAUGCCGCGUGUGUGAAGAAGGCCUUCGGAUUGUAAAGCACUUUCGGUGGGGAAGCGUUACCCACAGAAGAAGCACCGGCUAACUCCGUGCCAGCAGCCGCGGUAAUUC
rnacentral:rRNA from 1 species